AGAGAGUUUUGCGGAACACCACCG
rnacentral:siRNA from 1 species